AUUGAACGCUGGCGGCAGGCCUAACACAUGCAAGUCGAGCGGAUAAAGGGAGCUUGCUCCUGGAUUCAGCGGCGGACGGGUGAGUAAUGCCUAGGAAUCUGCCUGGUAGUGGGGGACAACGUUUCGAAAGGAACGCUAAUACCGCAUUCGUCGUACGGGACAAAGCAGGGGACCUUCGGGCCUUGCGCUAUCAGAUGAGCCUAGGUCGGGUUAGCUAGGUGGGGAGGUAAUGGCGCACGAAGGCGACGAUCCGUAACGGGUCUGAAAGGAAGAUCAGUCACACUGGAACUGAGACACGGUCCAGACCCUUACGGGAGGCAGCAGUGGGGAAUAUUGGACAAUGGGCGAAAGCCUGAUCCAGCCAUGCCGCGUGUGUGAAGAAGGUCUUCGGAUUGUAAAGCACUUUAAGUUGGGAGGAAGGGUUGUAGAUUAAUACUCUGCAAUUUUGACGUUACCGACAGAAUAAGCACCGGCUAACUCUGUGCCAGCCGCCGCAGUAACAC
rnacentral:rRNA from 1 species